rnacentral:rRNA from 1 species
UACGUAGGGUGCAAGCGUUGUCCGGAAUUAUUGGGCGUAAAGAGCUCGUAGGCGGUCUGUCGCGUCUGCUGUGAAAAUCCGAGGCUCAACCUCGGACUUGCAGUGGGUACGGGCAGACUAGAGUGUGGUAGGGGAGACUGGAAUUCCUGGUGUAGCGGUGGAAUGCGCAGAUAUCAGGAGGAACACCGAUGGCGAAGGCAGGUCUCUGGGCCAUUACUGACACUGGAGAAGCGGAAAGCAUGGGGAGCGAACAGG